rnacentral:rRNA from 1 species
UUUUAUUUGAGAGUUUGAUCCUGGCUCAGGAUGAACGCUGGCGGCGUGCCUAACACAUGCAAGUUGAGCGAUUUACUUCGGUAAAGAGCGGCGGACGGGUGAGUAACGCGUGGGUAACCUACCCUGUACACACGGAUAACAUACCGAAAGGUAUGCUAAUACGGGAUAAUAUAUUUGAGAGGCAUCUCUUAAAUAUCAAAGGUGAGCCAGUACAGGAUGGACCCGCGUCUGAUUAGCUAGUUGGUAAGGUAACGGCUUACCAAGGCGACGAUCAGUAGCCGACCUGAGAGGGUGAUCGGCCACAUUGGAACUGAGACACGGUCCAAACUCCUACGGGAGGCAGCAGUGG